GACGAACGCUGGCGGCGUGCUUAACACAUGCAAGUCGAACGGUAAGGCCCUUCGGGGUACACGAGUGGCGAACGGGUGAGUAACACGUGGGUGAUCUGCCCUGCACUUCGGGAUAAGCCUGGGAAACUGGGUCUAAUACCGGAUAGGACCACUGCCUGCAUGGGUGGUGGUGGAAAGCUUUUGCGGUGUGGGAUGGGCCCGCGGCCUAUCAGCUUGUUGGUGGGGUGAUGGCCUACCAAGGCGACGACGGGUAGCCGGCCUGAGAGGGUGACCGGCCACACUGGGACUGAGAGACGGCCCAGACGCCUACGGGAGGCAGCAGUGGGGAAUAUUGCACAAUGGGCGCAAGCCUGAUGCAGCGACGCCGCGUGAGGGAUGACGGCCUUCGGGUUGUAAACCUCUUUCAGCACCGACGAAGCGCAAGUGACGGUAGGUGCAGAAGAAGGACCGGCCAACUACGUGCCAGCCGCCGCGGUAA
rnacentral:rRNA from 1 species